UGAGGGGAAGGCGGGCGGGGUUGGAGGUAGGUGCUACGUCGUUUGUAUAAAUGCGGGUGUGUGGGCGCGUACUCAAAAUCCUUCACGUUUUCCUGAGAGUCGUAGAAUCGUAAAGGUUAGAAAAGACCUCUGAGAUCACCUGGUCCAACUGUAAGCACGUCACCGCCGUGCCCACUAACCCGGCUGUCGCUGCCACAUCUGUGUGGUUCCUGAACGCCUCCACGGACUGCGGCCCCUCCAUGGGCAGCCUGUGCCAUGCCUCACCAGCCUUACUCCCCUUUUUAGAUACUGAAAUGCUAUUCUGUGGUCUCCACGGAGCCCUCUCCAGGCUGAACAGCCCCGGCCCACUCAGCCUGUCCUCAUAGGAGAGGUGUUCCAUCCCUUGGAUCAUUUCUGUGACCCUUCUCUGGACACAUUCCAACUGGUCCACAUCUCUGCUGUCCAGAGGACUCAUAUCUGGAUGCAGUACUCCAGGAGAGGUCUCACCAGUGCAGAGCAGAGGGGCAGGAUCACCUCCCUCACUGCAGACUGCACUUCUUUUGAUGCAGCCCAGGAUACAGUUGGCUUUCUGGGCUAUGAGGGCACAUUGCUGGCUCACGUCCAGCUUUCCAUCCACCAGUAGCCCAGGUUAGGCAGGGUUAUGGCCUGUGUUCAGGAUUUUGUUAAAGCUCGUACAGCUGGCCUCAGCCUCAUUGAUUGAGCCUGUCAAGAUCCCUCUGCAGGGUUUUCCUACCCCCAGGUAGUUCAACACUUCCUCCAAACUUGGUGUCAUCUGCAAGCUUACUUAGAGUGCACUAAAUUUUCUCAUCCAGAUCAUCAAUAAGGCACAGUCCAAGGUCGUCAUUACCACACACUUGUAUGCCAGACUUGUCAGGGCAAAACACUUUGUAGUGUUUAGACUGGGGUCUCAUUAAGAUCAAGGUAAGAGAAAAGCUGUGCAAAGAAGGAGUCAGUGUGUUGGCAUCACUAAUCUCUUACCUGUGGACUGGCUCAGUCCUCAGCUAAGAAAAUUCAUCUUUUCACAGUUGCACUGCUUCUGAAAACAAGCAAGCAAAUAAAUAAAAGCUUAUGCAAUGACAUUAAUAUUUCUCUGUGUUUCAUGCAUUUAACUUUAUGUUACUGUAUCUGUCUUCCACAACAAUGUCACAUUUGUGGCUUUUGCUUAUUUUCUCAUCUGUUAAUGAUAAUUUUGCUUUUCAUUGCCCUGUUUCUAAGAAGUCACACCAUAAGUUGGAGAUAAUCAAGACUUCUUUGAGCACGUAACCUUUUGUGUAGGAAAGUGUCAUCCUGUAUUUAUUCCAGCCCUCUUCAGAUUCAGGUCAUUAUUAUCUUAUGAUGUUGUGGUUUCAAUUUAUACAACUGUGCCAUCUGCCGCUUUCAUUAAUGCAUCACUGUUUCCCAUACCAAGGUCAUUAAUACAGAUGUGAAAUGAGAGAACCAUUCAUCUAGAAUUUCAUUUCUUGCCUUUCAACUGUAAGGACUUUCCUUCUGGGGAAAGAAAUACACCCAAAUCUUCAUGCUGUUGACUGCUUUUAGUGCCCACAUUUAUUUGGUUAAUGCUGAUUUGAGUACACAUGUACCAUAUAUCAGUACUUAUGACCCGAUAAAGAGUCAGUUCAGGAAAGUGAUUAGGAAAAUGAGUGAAUGAAUGAGUGAAUGAAUGAAUGAAUGAAUAAAUAAAAUUUAGGCAAAUUUCAUCUGGUUUUCUUUCUGAAUCAGCACAAAGAAGGAUGUGAGGAAGCACACCUGGUUAGUAGUGUUAUUGUGUUCCACCUUAAGCCAGGUUUAGAUGCUAUGGAGGUGUAUCCUCUGCAGGAGUGCUUGUAGGUAAUUUCAGAGUCAGUGUCUUUAAAAGUAGUAUUAGAAAUCCAAAUGCUUUUAUAAAAACAAGACCUCUUUGGUGCUGGAAAUUUGUAAUUGUAUGGUGGAAAUUUGUACUCUGCUACCUAAACCUUAUUAGAAAGAUAUCAGGGUUGUUUGUUUUUUUUUUGUUUUUUUUUUUUUCCUGAGAAUUUACAAUGAAUAAAGAAAGAACUAUGUAUAUGACUUUUUCAGCUAGGAGAAUUAAUGAACCUUGAUGUCCUACCUGAAACUAGCCAAGGAUGGGUUGCAGGUGGCCAUUUCAGUAAUGGGCUUAUACACAAGAACAUUCCCCUCAACUCAAGAAAAAGAAAUCCAUUCCCAAGGAAGUCCUCCCUCCUUUACUACGUGACUGAAACAAGAAAAGAAGCUGGAAUUUUUUGUUCAGUUUAUUUUCCCUACAGUACUGAUUUAGUGUGUGCCUAUAGCCAUGUAUUUUGUGAUUGCAAUGAGGUAUAGCUUUUGUUUUUGCAGCUGUGUAGACUGCAACAAUUUGAAUAAUUAAAACCAUUGGGGUUUUGACAAUGUGCGAUCACAUUACUGUGAUAGAAUGCAUUUCAGACAGGAAAAUGUGAAAAAAGCCCCCCAAAAUGACAAAAUAUAUGUCCCUCUGAAUACUAAGAUGAGGCUGAGGUGAAUUAAAAUGUCUUUAUAUGGCACUUUAGAUAAAUCCUUCUAGUUGAUAACAGCAUUGCAAGAGAGAUAAGUAGUGCAGUGCAGAGGAACUGUUCAUCUCACAUGCCUGCAAGGGGCAGAUAGUCACCUGGCUGGGCCUCUGUUAGUGGUGUGAAAGUGGCACUGAGGAGAACAGUAGAAAGGAAUUGGAAUUUAAAUGAACAGAAAUUUACCUUACCAGGAUCUGUUGACCAAUAUUUAACUGCCGGAGCAAGAUAGUGUUUCUUGUCCUAUCAGAGGGUAAAAUUAUCACAGAAGGGGCAACUAUUGAAAUGUACAGAGCAUGUAAAAUUAUAAGGAAGUGGAGAGAGGUGUCCAUUUCUCAAGAAGUUACAUCCUAUACCAGGAUUGUUUAUUAUAUACUUGUAGUCUGAAUCCAACUUCCUUAUGAACAUUUUUUGAGUUGCCAUAAUUAAUUACCAUGAUUAUUUUACUAAUUAUUUUACUUAUUUAUAUAUUUCUGAAAAAAAAAAACUCUUUGAUAGUAUUUGCUACUUACUUUCAGUGGAGUUGAGGACACUGUAGAAUAAAUAUGCCAGAAAACCUUUUUUUGAAGAAAUGGUAUUUAGCUUCCUUUUCCCUUCUGCUUCCCAUUUUGUCUUAUUACAGUCCCUGUUGGCUACAAUAUAUUGGUGAGUAUUCAUUUAGAGCAGCCUUGAGGCACAGAACUUGGGUUCAUAAUUUCCUGCUCAUCUUGCAAACAAAUAAAUGUGGCCACAGCUCAGAGUUUGACCAUAAAAAUUAAGCUGCCUUGUUUGUGUUUUUGGAAAGACAUCUCCCUUUUUUUCUGCUGUGUCUUAAAAUCUUUUAUCUUUCAUGUGUAUUUGUAAGAUUUAUGAGGUGCACCUGCCAUGUGAAGAACAUCAGUUUCUGUGCUACAAAACAAGUGUCUGUGAAUAGGAAGAUUACCACUAAAACUACUAUUGUAAGGACUCUAUGGAAGUAUCAAAUCUGAAGUUUUAAAAAGUGUAAUAAAACCUCUCACAUGCAAAAUAUGCUUUUCGCUUUGUCAGUCCCUGACUGGGUAAGGCACUUAGUGUUUCCAAGAAUCUUUGCUUAAAAAGCAGCGGAUUAAGCCUUUAAGUAGGUACACAGACAAUUAAAUCUUGGCACUCAGAAAAAUUUCCUUCCAUGCCCCAAUCUUUUUCUCCCCACUUCUACCUCAGUCUCUGUUCUUGGCCUCCUGCCUGCCUGGUGCUCUUUGCUCAUGCUUUGUUGCUUGCUGGAGCCUCCUGUGAAGCAAUGCAAAGCAGCAGAAGUCAUAGUUGUGUCCCUGUGGGCUCAGAACAUUGAAUCAUCUCAGACAGAGAUCUGAGUUGACACAGCAGAGGAGGAAGAGAGAUCUAUUGUUGUCUUUUGUCACAGGGAAGCUUGGGAUAACAAUUCCCCUUGAUAACUGUUUCCUAUAACCAGAGCGCUGGGCUGGGAUCCCGCUCUGCUUCCCAGUGUUCUGCCCUUCCCAGUACGUUGAUACACAUCCUCAGCUGUGUGUUCCUAUGCUGCCAGGGAAACCAGCUUUCUUUCUCAGGUAGAUUCUGGUUACAGUAUGAGUUAGCAUGCUUACAAAAAUCUGAACCAGCAGAGGUGACUCUCUGACAUUGCUGCCACUUCUGAAAUGCACCACCUGCUGCCAACUGUGCUUACAUCCCCUCUUUGGUCUCCAUGAAAUUCGGCACGAUUCAAUUAAUGUCAGUGGGUGCAAUUUUUUAUUUUAUUUUAUUUAUUUAUUUAUUUUUGCAUGGAGGAAUUCAGUGCCACACCUUUUCUUCAUGCGCACUUCCAUGUCAAAUGCCAUUUUGUCAGAUCACCCCUCUGCUGCCAUCUGUCAGACAACAACAAAAUGUGAUGUAGUAUUGCUGGAAAGGCUGAACCUCUACUGCCAUACCACCAACAUUCAUCUCUGAUGACCUUGGCCAACAUAAUGAAAUAGAGGCAUCAUUUCUGGAGAAGCCUUCAUGUAAAUGUGCUAUGUCUUAUUUUCCAGAAUUUAUUUGAAAUUGCUUCGACUUCGAAAAAUUUCUCAACCAAGUAAUUUUUUAGGCUUCUUGUCUUAAAAACAAUUUAAUUCAUGCAUCUUUUGUUAUGAUGAGAAUAGCUUUUUUGUUUUUUUUUUAAGCAAUAUCAAUGCUUAUGUGAAAUUUGUAUACUUUGUGUUAUUAUAUGCAAAGAACAUUUUUAAAGUAUUUUCCAUACGAUUUGCAUGCAUCAUAAUGCUUUUAAAUGGAAAGUUAUAAACAAAAUUAUUUCUUUUAAUUGGAGGAGGUGUAACAAUCUAAUUCAUCGGAUCUGGAGGGCUCCUGGCUAUCCAGUGAGAGACAGAUUUUGGGAGAAAAUAAAUUUAAAGACAGAGUGUCCAAUUCUAUAGUUUUAAACUUUUUCUGCAUUUAUGAACUAUGGUACCUUUUUGCUUUCAUAGGCAGUAAACACAGGUAGCUUUGAGUUUUAUAGAAUAUUUUAUUAACCAUGCUUUGUUGCAUUGUGAAAGGGAUGUUUUGUUUUGUUUUUUUAUCAGCCUGUCACCAGUUAAGGAGAAAUACCUGCUGCAAGCAGUAAAUUCUGGCUCUGAGCAUGCUGCUCUAAGAUGACCCAUUAUUUAUUUUCAUCUAAUUAUGCAGAUUCUUCUUUUCCUUGCUUUCACCAUUAGAGUGUGCAUUUUUAUAGCCUAUUUAUACUAUCAUUAUAUACUGCAGUGGGUUAGCUUGCUACUGGAGAUAAAAUCACCUUGUUUAUACAAUGAUUCAGAAAAUGGGAAAAUAUAUGCUGAUGUAUUGCAAGCUCCUGUAAUGAAAAAUACAAAGGCUUAAAUUUGAACAAUUGUUGUAUCCUUUUCUUCUAGAGAAGGUUAAUACAAUUCUGACAGAGGUGCUUUUCUGAUACCAGUGAGGGUAGUUCUGGUGUGUUCUGUUUCACAUCUUAAGAAGAUUGUGUUGUAUGUGCAGAAGGAAACUGUAAGUCCAUCAAAAUUCGUGCUUUGUGUGCAGCCAUCACAAAAACAAACAAACAUCAAGAGUCCUGAUUCAGCUACUACUGCAGUGUAAUUGGUCAUAAAACAACUAGCCUAUUAGAUUUAUUUUAUUUUGGUUUUAAACUAGGGGUACAUGUUUUUAUGCUAAAUAGAUUGGAUUAUUCUAGUGAUUUCACAGAUAGCAUUUAACUAAAAAAGUGAACAGAUUCUUGCUUAAGAAAGAAGAGAUAAAGCAAGGAAUAAAGCCAAGCUACAUUUCCAUUUUUGAAUGUAAGGGCUGGCAAGGAGAAGGACACUAUUUAAGAGGAAAUUAAUUUCAGGCCUGGGAAGUUGUGAUUCCGACAGGCUUAGUACUAGAUGUCAACUGUGAUAUCCCUCACAGUUCUCUAAACAAGGUCAUCUUGUGUAUAUUUUCUUUAUUCAGUCAUUUAUUAUGUUGAUAGUUCUCGUAUUUUUCCUUCUCUACUUUUUGUUCUCUUUGAUGGCAAGCCCAGAAAAGAGUUUAUAUAGCCUGCAGAUAUUCCUGUGAGAGGACAGCAUACACUGGCAUGGAAGAGAGGUUACGCAGAUCACUAGUUCACUGUUUGAAGGGAUUAGAAGAGGAAUUCACCACGAUGGGAGAAGGUGCUGCAUCUCUGUGGGAAUGAAGGAGAAGUGAAAACCCACAUUGUGUUUGUGGAGUCUGGGCUUUUAAAUUGCUGAAGCUUUCUUUAGCAAAAAGAUAAACAUGGCCUUUAAUUUUCUUCAUUUAGAACAGGCCUUUCUAACCUGCUCUGGUUCAGGACACCAGACUUCAAAUAGUCAUUGUUUAUCAGGCUUUGGCUUCUAAUGUCUUUGGGUAGCACGCCAAGAAUUUCUCUGCGUGUAGCAUAGCUUUCCUGUGGUCUUCUUAAUGGAUCAGAGAUUUAGCAGGAGUGUUCUGACCUGGGAAAUAUGCCUCCUCAUUCAGUGCUUAUUUUAGCACAAUGCUGAAGAUUUGUCUGAAUAUUUAAGAUGCUUUUGUGUUGGAUGUAGUGAGAAUCUUCUUGUUUCUGGACCAUUACCCGUGGAGCAAAAUUAAUUCUAGUAAGUACAAAAUUAUAUUGGCACAAUGAAUUUUUAAGCUUUAAAGUGUAAUGCUGUUAGAAGUAAUUAAAAAACAAUCAGAGAACAGAAAAUGACCCUUUAAUAGCAGAUGAAGUCUUGACCUUUAUUGUGCCAGGCAAGUUUCUCAGUAAUGUGUGAUUCCUACUUUGUUCACUUUCAAUGCAGUCUUUUACAUAGCUUAUGAGCUUGUUAAGAUUUUGUUGAGGCAUUUUUAAAACAUUACUGUUUAGCAAGACAUCAGAAAAUUUGUGAAUACUUUAAGGCCAAUUUUAAUUACAGAUCCAGAACUACGAGCAGAAAGGACAGGGCUCAGCUGAUCACAACUUGGUGCCAACUUUGUGCCUAUCCUUAAACUACUUCUUUUAGACUCUCCUCAUAUUCAAAACAAAGAAGUACUUCUAGUAAACUCCAAUCAGCCUGGAAUAGAUAUCUGAAAAGAUGAGCUGUUCCCUGAAGGUGCCUAUUUCUUUCAAGUUGACUACAGGGAGAGACAAGUUCACUGACAUCUUUUUUUAUAAAAGCACAGUUUGAGAGGUGAAUCCCACCCUGUAGUCAUGUUCCUAUGCUAUUCUUAAAGCUCAUAUUUGAGAGUCCCUAAUCCACUGUUCCUCUGAUAUAAAUGUAGGCCAGCUAAUGUUGAACUCAAGUCAAUUUUCUAUGGUUCUCUCUUUAGAAAAUUAGGAGACACAGGUGACUUUGCAUUAUAACCCACCUGAUGUGCAAAUUACUCUUUCAAGUCACUGUGAUUUUUGUAAAUCCAAAGAUGAAUUAUUCCUAGGACAUUCUCUUAAUACAGUAUUUUUGAAGUCAAAAUAAUACACAGCAUAACAGUUGAUACCAAUCUUUAAUCCUUUUGUUUUUCCCUCAACUAACAAUCAUGCUAUACAAGAAUGUGAAAUCAAAUGAAGAUGAAUAAGAAGACAAAAGUGGAAAUAAGUUUUCAAAGUUAAAUAUAGUAAUGGUUACCAUUCCUAUGCAAGAACAAACUAAGAAUAACACUUUGCAUUUCAGAACCAACAUCAUUUGAGGCCACUAUAGUGUCUUCAUGGAAGAGCACAUCUUCCAUCUAUUAAAAAAAAGUGCAUAAUUAAAAUCUUAAUGUUUUGCUGCUAUGAAAAGGGAAAUAAACUGAAACUAUUGUUGCAUUAAAACAUUGAUUCAGUUUUGUGUGCUGCCUUCUAUCCAGCAGUCCAUAUCACAUGCACUGAGAUGAUUUGUCUCACCCUGUGGAGUCAGGUUGGGCUAUGAUACCUCUAACUUCAACAGAUAAUUCUCUUUUUCUGAAAUCUCCAUAUAAGCAUUUCCCUUCAGCAGUUGCUUUGGGAACACUCCCGAAGAGAAAUCAGGAUACAGAUUAUGCAAAACAAUGCAGUAAAUGCUAGCAUAAGGCUGAAUAAAAUAAAUUAAAUGGAAAAAAAAAAAAAGAAGACAAAAGAAAAAAUGAAUAAAUUCAUUGGAAAGAAGAUUUCAGUACACUGAUUCAAAAGAAAUGAGCUAUAUAAUCAAGUCAUGAUAGGAAAAAGAAACUGAAGGAAGUUGAAAAAGAAUAGAAAAAAGUCAUGCAUGUCACAUGUGUGCUUUUGAAGCAAAGGAACUGGAAUGGUAAACCACAAGAAUAAUUAAUGAAGUAACCAGAUAAUUAAAAUCAUUUACAGUUGGAGGAGGAGAUGGGAAGUAUGUGAUAACACCAAGGAUAUUGGUAACUUGCAAGGUCUACCCAAGGCUGAUUUUUUUUGUAAUUACAGCCUGGCCAAACAAACAAACAAACAAAAAAAACCCCACCAUCUUCUGGCAUCACUCAUGUGGUUUGUUUGUUUGUUUUUCCCCUUCCACUUCAACAUGGAAUUGAAGGGUAUUUUUUAUAUUUUAUAGUUUCACCACUAAGUACGUUUUCUCACUGCUUUCUAAUUUCUCUUACUGAUCCCUAUAUGCUGUCACUUUGUAUAUUUUUUCCUCUAGUAUUUCUCAAUUGUGUUGUUUGCAUUUCACAAAUUACCUGUUCUUUCCCAGGUCUCACCUUCCAUUUGUUCUUCCUUGAUGUAUAUAAGCCAAGAGCUACCUGCUGCAAGAUUCUUUUGUAGCCUUACAUUGAUAAUCUAUUAAAUUAAAAUAUUUCAAGUGUUUUCUGUUACAGAAAAUACGCUCUUGGGUCUGGUAUGUGUUCCCAUGCACAGGAAUAAGUGAUGCAAUUUCAGUCAAUGUAUCCCAAAUUAAUCACUUGUAUGGAAGAACAAAUGUAACUGUUGCAUAAAAGGAAGAUUGGUGUCUGUUAUUCGUAAAAUACAACAUUAAAUAUAUUGUAAAAACAGAGGAUUUGCCAACAGAGGAGACCUCAUUUAAAAUGCAAGAACACCAGAUGGAAAAUACAUUACAUAAUAAAAUAUGUAUUAGCCAGUUUUCUUAUUUUUGUGUGGUUCAAAAUGGAGCAUGUUUCUUUUUUGGAAACUUAGAAAUUGAGCUGGUAAUACAACAUUUACUAUGACAGAAUGACCAAGCUUAAUACACAAGUUGUAGCGAAGAAGGAUAACAGGUAAAGACUUCUCCUCAGCCCAAAUAAUACAUUAAUUAAUUAAUAAUAAUAAAGUGAUUAAACUGAUUUUUUAGAGUUGAUUAUUCUACCAGAUCUGUAACAUAGCCUGAAAGCCCAUCAUCUUCAAUAAACACGUUGUGGGAAAGCACCUGUACAGAAGCUGUUUUUGUCUGUAUUAGGAAAUAAUUCUACUCGAAGGUCCUAUAACAUGUAAUUCUUAGGUUAUGGGACAGACAAAAUGAGAAAGCCUUCUGAGGAAAGCUAUGUUUCCAACAUAGCAGAUUAUUCUUUCAGGGAUUCAGGAAAGGCUUUUUUCUAAAAAAAAAUAUUUUUAGUUUUAGUUACAAAUGCUCAUCUUGAAAGAGAGAAUGUCAGAGAAGUAUUAGCUUAAUUUUUUGAGCAGAAUUUGCAGGUAGUAAGUAAAGCCUACACUGUAUUCUAUAGACUAAAAUUAGCCAAAAAAAAAAAAAAAAAAUU